ensembl:lncRNA
GUCAAGGACACCAUGCUUUUUCGCAUCUUCUGCAAGAUGUACAAGGCAGUGUGCAUUGUAGGACAAGAAUUGUGGACCAUACAGUUGACCAAAGAUGAAGAUUCCCACAAAAAGUAGCAAGAAAUUUUUGUACACCUCUGUGUUAAGAAGAUCUUUCAUCAUGACAGCCUACAAGUCAGAGGACCCAUCUUCAGCCACAGGAGAAGAAGCCGUCUCAUGAUUCCGAGGCACACAAGGUGCAUGUAGUCGAGGGGGAAACCAGAGACCAUGUUUAGGGAUGUUUCUUCAAGAGGUACAAACCAUCCUGUGUGCAUUUUUCACAUCCGUGAUAGCCUGUGUGACCUUUAACAUUUUUCAGGAAUGCACGGGCAGGUGCAUCGCAGACCAUCGAAGAGAGUAUGUCCCUAGGAUGGGCCAGAACUGUGUUGCGGAGCUCUUAUAGAGGGCCAACCAUCAAUGCUGACCUGAAGCUCCAACGUGUGAAUGUUGCGCAGAAUGUCAACAUUCUGAUGUAGCACCUCUGCAAUUGAAUUCAGCACUCCAAAAUGCUGUGGAAACCUGACCUGGUGAGGACCCUCUCCUCCAUCCUCAACCAUUGAACCUCUUAUCACACUCGGACGAGGACAAACCAGCCUGUGAUCUAGACUCCUAGAUCCAACCCUGGUCCACGAUCAUUCCCACACCUGUGUCUCAUCACAGUCCAUCACCUGUGUCUGCACCCUGCCUACUGCUAAUAUUAUGGAUUUCUGUUCUGGAGAGAUAUGCCAUUCACAACAAUCUCUACACAAUAUCAAACUCAAAUAAUUUAGUCCUGCCUAACAGUUUUCCUGAUUUGUUACUGUUCACAAUGUAGCACAGUCUCGUCUUUGUGCAUUCAGUUGUUAAAAUAUGUCCUUAUUAUUUGAUUGUAUCUCAAGUUUAUUAUUUAAAAGCAAAUUCACAAUCUUUCACGAGAAGAGAUAAUAGGUGUGUCUGACUUGAAGCAGUGCUGUGCAGACCGAUCGAAGUAUGACAUCACAGUACCACGAGAGCAAUAAGACUGUAAGACAGCUUCUUAUGCUUUUGAAUCACUCUCAUGAUACUUUGUCAUACUUUAAGCAGUGCUGCGCAGACCAAUUGAAGUUGAACACGUCUAAAGUGUAAACUCUCACUGUCAGCUAUGGGACUUCUGCAGUAAUAUGACGAGCAGGUGUUCAGUGUCAUCAUCUUACUUUAUUGAAAUGCUAUAUUGACCUGGAUUCAGGUUUAAAACUGUUUAACUGGGAAAGAACAAAUUAAGUGUCAUUAAUGUUGUGAGGCUGCAUAACAUCUGGUCAGAAGAAUGUUUGUGUAGUCUGUUUCCUCCUGAGGUUUCUAUCUUGUAUAGAUAAAUAUCUAAAAAUGAGUGUCUUUGUAACCAUUCUCAAUAGAUACUGAAAGCUUU